GUUAUAUGAUCAAGUAAUUAAGAGCACAAGGCGGAUGCCUUGGCAGCUGAAGGCGAUGAAGGACGUAGUAACUUGCGAUAAGCUUCGGGGAGGUGGUAAACAACCUUUGAUCCGGAGAUUUCCGAAUGGGGGAACCCAGUGUGCAUAAGCACAUUAUCUUAUACUGAAUACAUAGGUAUAUGAAGCAAACCUAGGGAACUGAAACAUCUAAGUACCUAGAGGAAAAGAAAUCAAUAGAGAUUCCGGUAGUAGCGGCGAGCGAAACCGGACCAGCCCUUAAGCUUUUUUAAGAUUAGCAAAACAGACUGGAAAGUCUGGCCAUAGUAGGUGAUAGCCCUGUAUGCGAAAAUCUUUUAAGAGUGAAAUCGAGUAGGUCGGAACACGUGAAAUUCUGACUGAAUAUGGGGGGACCAUCCUCCAAGGCUAAAUACUCUCAGCUGACCGAUAGUGAACUAGUACCGUGAGGGAAAGGCGAAAAGAACCCCGGCGAGGGGAGUGAAAUAGAACCUGAAACCUUGUGCUUACAAGCAGUCGGAGCAGACUUGUUCUGUGACGGCGUACCUUUUGUAUAAUGGGUCAACGACUUAAUUUCAGUAGCAAGCUUAACCGCAUAGGGGAGGCGUAGGGAAACCGAGUCUUAAUAGGGCGCUCAGUUGCUGGAAUUAGACCCGAAACCGGGUGAUCUAUCCAUGGCCAGGGUGAAGGUUAGGUAACACUGACUGGAGGCCCGAACCCACUUAUGUUGAAAAAUGAGGGGAUGAGCUGUGGAUAGGAGUGAAAGGCUAAUCAAACCCGGAGAUAGCUGGUUCUCUUCGAAAACUAUUUAGGUAGUGCCUCAUGUAUUACCAUUGGGGGUAGAGCACUGUUUCGGCUAGGGGGUCAUCCCGACUUACCAAACCGAUGCAAACUCCGAAUACCAAUGAGUACGAGCAUGGGAGACAGACUGCGGGUGCUAACGUCCGUAGUCGAGAGGGAAACAACCCAGACCGUCAGCUAAGGUCCCAAAUUAUUAUUAAGUGGGAAACAAUGUGGGAAGGCACAAACAGCUAGGAGGUUGGCUUAGAAGCAGCCAUCCUUUAAAGAAAGCGUAAUAGCUCACUAGUCGAGUCGGCCUGCGUGGAAGAUAUAACGGGGCUAAAUAAUAAACCGAAGCUACGGAUCUUAAAUUUAUUUAAGAUGGUAGAAGAGCGUUCUGUAAGCGGUUGAAGGUGUGCUGUAAGGCAUGCUGGACGUAUCAGAAGUGCGAAUGUUGACAUGAGUAACGAUCAAAGAGGUGAAAAACCUCUUCGCCGAAAAUCCAAGGUUUCCUGUCCAACGCUAAUCGUGGCAGGGUGAGUCGGCUCCUAAGGCGAGGGCGAAAGCCGUAGUCGAUGGAAAACAGGUUAAUAUUCCUGUACUUCUUAUAAUUGUGAUGGGGUGACGGAGAAGGUUAGGCUAGCACGGCGACGGUUGUCCGUGUUUAAGGUUGUAGGCUGAGAUUUUAGGUAAAUCCGGAAUCUCUUAAGGCUGAGAACUGAUGACUACCACUCUUCUGAGUGGCGGUAGUUGAUACCAUGCUUCCAGGAAAAUCCUCUAAACUUCAGAUUAUAAGAAACCGUACCCCAAACCAACACAGGUGGAUAAGCUGAGAAGGCUAAGGUGUUUGAGAGAACUAUGGUGAAGGAACUAGGCAAAAUGGUACCGUAACUUCGGGAGAAGGUACGCCGCGUCCGGUGAUGAGACUUGCUCUCUGAAGCUAGACACGGUUGAAAAUACUAGGUGGCUGCGACUGUUUACUAAAAACACAGCACUCUGCAAAAUCGUAAGAUGACGUAUAGGGUGUGACGCCUGCCCGGUGCCGGAAGGUUAAUUGAUGGGGUUAGCUUAGGCGAAGCUCUUGAUCGAAGCCCCGGUAAACGGCGGCCGUAACUAUAACGGUCCUAAGGUAGCGAAAUUCCUUGUCGGGUAAGUUCCGACCUGCACGAAUGGCGUAACGAUGGCCACACUGUCUCCACCAUAGACUCAGUGAAAUUGAAAUCGCUGUUAAGAUGCAGUGUUCCCGCAGCUAGACGGAAAGACCCCGUGCACCUUUACUAUAGGUUCACACUGGACUUUGACUUUAUUUGUGUAGGAUAGGUGGGAGACUUUGAAGCUGAGACGCUAGUCUUAGUGGAGUCGUCCUUGAAAUACCACCCUUGUAAAGUUGAGGCUCUAACUCAGGUCCAUUAUCUGGAUCGAGGACAGUGUGUGCUGGGUAGUUUGACUGGGGCGGUCUCCUCCCAAAGAGUAACGGAGGAGUACGAAGGUAUCCUAAGCAUGGUCGGACAUCAUGCAGAUAGUAUAAAGGCAUAAGGAUGCUUGACUGCGAGACUGACGGGUCGAGCAGGUAGGAAACUAGGUCUUAGUGAUCCGGUGGUUCUGAAUGGAAGGGCCAUCGCUCAACGGAUAAAAGGUACGCCGGGGAUAACAGGCUGAUACCCCCCAAGAGUUCAUAUCGACGGGGGUGUUUGGCACCUCGAUGUCGGCUCAUCACAUCCUGGGGCUGGAGCAGGUCCCAAGGGUAUGGCUGUUCGCCAUUUAAAGUGGUACGCGAGCUGGGUUUAGAACGUCGUGAGACAGUUCGGUCCCUAUCUGCUGUGGGCGUUGGAGAUUUGAGGGAAGUUGAUCCUAGUACGAGAGGACCGGAUUGAACGAACCUCUGGUGUUCCGGUUGUCACGCCAGUGGCAUUGCCGGGUAGCUAUGUUCGGAAGGGAUAACCGCUGAAAGCAUCUAAGCGGGAAGCCUCUCCCAAGAUUAGAUCUCCCAUAGACUUCGGUCUACUAAAGAGUCGUCAUAGACUAUGACGUUGAUAGGCAAGGUGUGUAAGCGUUGUAAGGCGUUGAGCUAACUUGUACUAAUAACUCGUGAGGCUUGAUCAUGUAACCUUA
rnacentral:rRNA from 1 species